UCUGUCACCCUGAACGCACUGGAUCCUGUCUGAUUUCAGAAGUUUAGCAGGAUCAGGCCUGAUGAGCGGUUGGGUGAUAGGUGACCCUGAAAAUCAGGAAUCUCCCAGAA
rnacentral:rRNA from 1 species